AAAAAACCCCUGCUCCUUGAUAUCAGGAACCAUCACACAAAAUCUGGUUGUGAUAUUUUAAGAGGUGUCCAAAUGCAAAGAAGUGGCAAAGUAUAUUUCCAGGUGGGCGAGUUGUGUCCGACAUUUUAAGAGAACUGAAAGAAAAAUAUAGUGUAUGUUAAUGACAGAGAGUCCAUCAAUGGGCUGGGGUGGGGGACAAGUGGAGGGGCGAAACUCCUUGUAUGGGGGGUCAUUUGCUCUCCUGCCAACUCCCCCUGGUGCCACCCACACAUGCACGGCUUUCUUAUUUUGAGAGACAAAAGCCGUGACCUAGUCUGAGUGAGCAUCACCGGCCCUGGAGCACCAUGGUGUGGACUUUCACAAUCUGCCUUCCCUCCCUCUGCUCAUUCCCGCCAGGAUGGCAAGCCAUUCAGUAACUGCUUAUUAACACAGUCUGGAAACAACCUGACCUUUUGGCGAAGAGUAAAUCAACCAACUCAUAACUCCCUCCCAGGUGUAUUAUAUUUAUGUAUUGCAUGUGCCUAUGCAUGGAUGUGUUUGUGUAUGCAAUGCUACACAAGGUCAGUCCACUGCAGAAAAGAGAUACAUCGCUAGUUCUCUUUGGCUGCUUUCUUGUCAUUCCACCCUCCAGUUUGCUUCAUCCUGUUAAAAUAGCUGACAACAGCUAUUAAUGUAACCCCAGAUGCCCAGAUGGGUAGUAGCAAAGCGGGUUGAAAGCGAAGCCUCCUUGUUGAGGAACACUGUGUUUCAGUCCCAGUGCUAUAGAUUCUCAUUUGGAGAGAGACCCUUCUGAGUAGGCAAAGUGGUGUCGGGCUUUAUUGUACCCUACCUGUGUACCCUACCUGUGGUGGCGACAGUUGUCCACCCUACCAUACAUGCAAUAUGCCUACGUUUAGGAAGUGAAUUUGCAGGGAGCCUCACUUACAAUUCGCAGCUGUUGUUUGUGCACUCUCAGAUGCAAAUGUCCCUGAAUGAUACAAUAUGUGUGUUGGGGGGGGGAGGAAUCCAUCAGAUAUGUUGCCAAGGAAGAAGGCAAGCCCCCCACUCCUGAAAGCGUGGUGAAUGGGUACGAAUUGGGCUGCAUAUGUGCUAAAACACGUGCCUUUCCCCCCAAAGUAUCCUGGGAAUUUAUCCCUGCCUGCCUGCAGGUUUACAUUCUAAAACACACAUCACAAAAGGAAAAGGCGAUGAGGAGGAAAGAGGAAACAAGGAAGCUAGUGAUCCAGUUCUUGAACUUACACUGUAGUUCUUAUAACUUAAAACGAGCUGCUGGAAUGGAACGGUUCAGAGAGAGGAGGAGCCAAUUCAUCAUACAUUUAAAGCGCAUGGCUUUCCCCAAAGAACCCUGGGUACUGGGAAUUGUAGCUCUGUGAAGGGUAAACUACAGUUCACAGGAUUCUUUUGAGGAAAACCAUGUGCUUUAAAUGUACGGCACAUAGGAAGCCUAGGUUUACGAAACUAAACUUGCCUUGUACCCAUUUGUUACUGACAUAGCAGGUUUCGUAACAAAUGAAAACCUGAAGCCAAGGGGGCUUAUUUGGUUCUUUUUGUCAUUUGCUACAAACCAAAUGCAGCCUUCUAAAAGCCAUGCUUCCCCUAUCUGGCUCCUAUUUUUGCUGAAUAAAUUGUUUCGGACAGACAUGGCGUUAUCUCCUCGUGAUAAAUUUUGUCUUCAGUUGAGGCAGCCAGACAUAUUACACUCCCCAGAAGCAUAAACCUUUGAGCCGCCCGCUUUCCCACAAGCGCCUGUGAUAAAUAUAACCCCUUGAUGCUGCUAAUUAGGUUUAUGUGUUUGGGUGGGGGAGUGGGCUCAAGCACUUUUUGCUCCAUCCCACCCCCGCUGCUCAGGAAUCCUUCACCUGUCCUGGUCAAUGUAUUGUGGUCAAGGAGUCAGCAGCAAACAGAUCCGGCAGGAUAUAUGUCAGCUGCUUUUUAGCCUCAGAUAACUGCAAGGGGGAAAAUCGCAGAGCUGCACACUAACUUACAUAUUUGUUAAAUGAACAUGUGUUUCCUGCCUUCUGCUUUUGAACAAACCUCUCUUUGCCUCGAAAGCUUUAUUUCUAAAAAAGUAUUGUUGCUGCAGCAAACAAAAUGAAUACCCUGUGUUCUUUCCUUCCGAUAAAAAACAGCCAGACCCUCUGAUUUGUGCCCACCUCAGAGUUGACCCAUUGCAAUUGAAGGACCUAAGCGAGUUGUUUUCAUUAACUUCAGUAGACCUACUCUUGAGUCGAACUAGCAUUGGUGACAGCCCACUGUAGUUACCUUACUAGCUUAUCAUGAAAUUUGCUCACGACCACAUUUAUUCUUUCUGGGGGGGUGGGGGGCAAGCAAAGAAACCCCAAAAUUGUUGAGCUUUUCCCCCCACAUCAACACCAAAAAGAAUUCGAUUUUUGAUUUGCCGAAGAUCCAGGACAAAGCACCACAUUUCAAAAAUUCCCCCCGGACAUCAAUUCUGCCUUUGAAAUCCUAGUAAUGUCUGGGGAAAUCCGGACGUCUGGCAGCCCUAGAGUAGCCCCAUUGAAAUUAACCAUCUCCAUUAAUUUUAGUGGGGCUGCUCUGAGUAUGACUAACAUUUGAAACAACUCAAACAAACCUAUACUGGAAAGUCAUACCCUUUGACUAGGAAGCUCAUUUACCGAAACCUUGGAUGUUUGAAGGAGGCUGACUGUAGUUAGGGUGGGGGGGGAAGCAUAAUGUUAAUAUUAUUAUUGCAGCACUGAAGUUGUUACUCACAUUUACCCUUGUACUGGCAAAGUCCUUGAUAUUUGCAGGUAUGUUCUUUAAAAUUACUAGUGAGGCCCUGAGGAAGGCAUCCUGCUUGAAGGUGUCAGUGAGGUGUGGCCCUUUUGACCAGGCUUUGCUCUGUGACCUCUUUUCUGGAUUUGGGCUUGCAUCCAACCAAGCUGUGAUUAGCUGUGGUUCCCUGCAUUGCAGGUGGUUGGACUAGAUGACCUUUCUGACUCUGCAGUUCUAUGAUUCAGUGAGUCUAUAUCCCUGUAGUUCGGGGAUGAAUGGAUGCACAUCACAAGUGAGUUCUUACAGUGGCUAAUAGACUUAUAUAAUCCUAGAAUCGUAGAGGUGCAUAGAACCUCCGGCUCCCUGCAAUGCAGGAAUCAUUUGCACAACAUGACUCUGAGAAUUAGAGUCUCAUGCUCUGCCAACUGAGCUAUCCCACGUACUUUGAUCCUGUAAGGAUAAAUACGUACUGUCUGUUACGCAUCAGUCUGAGGACCUCACUGCCCUGUGUGCCUUGAGCAUAUUUCAUAUAUGCCUCAACAGAGGUUCAGUUUAAGAUUUGUGUACCAGUAUGCACUGAAUCUACAAUGUGAAGUGAGGGUGGCCUACUCUUAUUUCUGAGUAUUAAUUUUAUGCCAUUAUUUGUCUGGGUUUCCCCACCCCCACCCCAAUCUCUGCCUAUUUAAAUGUUAUUUCAUCUUUUUCCUUUAAAAGAAAUUUGAAAAAUUAUUAUCACUAUUAUUGCACCAGGAGGAAGGGUAGGGCAGCGCUGGUAGAGCACAUGCUUUGAAUGCAAAAAGUCCCAAGUUCAAUCCUGGGGCUUCCUAGUGAAGAUUGAGAAAGACAUUGGUUGCAUGUCAGUAAGAGAUGAUACUGAGCCACAUGGAACAAUGGUCUGACUCAGCAACCAGGCUAGCUGAAGGAUCGUUGUGGAUAGGGAGGGAUAUGAAAGGCUAUUCAAGCCACUGAUUUGCCUCCCACCAAUGGCAGCAUCUUGGGGACAAGGAGUCACUUGUUUAUUUUAUAAAUUUUAUAUAACGCUUGAGUGUAAAAACAACAACCCAAUAUCCUCAGAGUGGUUUGCAAAAAGAAUAAAGCAAUGAGGUUAUCAGUAAAAACUUUUUUUAAAGAAAGGGUAUGUGCUGCUGCUCUAAAAGAUUGGUUUCUUACAAAUGUGGAAUGCAUAGUAUGUAACAGUGCAGUUCCACAUAUUGCUCCAACUAAGAAUCUGUGCAUUCAACUAACUUCGACUCAGAGAAGACCCGUUGAAAUUAAUGAGCCUAAGUUAGUCAGGACCAUUCAUUCUAAUAGAUCUGCUCUCUGAAUAAGACUAGCAUUGGAUGUAACCCAACAGAAACAGUCACCAGCCCACUGGUCAGGAAGCUGACAAAUUCCAGGCAUCACCACCAGAGGGAGUGCUGCACCAAGGAGGUGGGAAGGGAAAGGGGAGUAAAGGAACUGGCAUCCCCAAAACACCAUGAACAGUGGUCACUUUCAAAAUGCAAUUGCAUGAGAUGGGGGCACACUCAUGUUUGCACGAGGGUCGCUAAAUCCUCUCAGCUGGCCUGUGAAUGAAGGUGCCCUUAAAUGAAGGCUGCAGAUGGAAAACAGGCUGUUUUAUUUAUUUUAUGCCAGUUUCCUUUUGUAUGAGGAUUGGUAGUUAGACACACAGGCCAAAUUGAGCUGGAUUUGCUGCCUUUGUUUGUGAUGGCGGGUGUGUUCGGUCGAGUGCAACAGAAGAGGCAGGGAGCAAUGCAAGAAAUUUGGCGCCAAUCUGCCCGGCUUUGAAAGAGGCGGCAUUCCAAUCCCCUUUGGCCUUAAGAGAAAGUCCUGAUUGAGUGCUUCAGCUCAGUGACCUCCCCUGACCCCUGAGAACGGGACUGCUUCUCUAGAGGCACUUCUUUUCAAUUAAUCAAAUUAACAGCUUGGAUAAAUCUGCCCACCACUUGGGACAGCUGUGACCUACUGCAGCGCCCACUUCCAAUAGCUGUCUCGGAUCAGGGCCUUUCCCCUCUGUCCUGUAGGCUUAGCACCAUCUUCUGUUAAGUACACCUUUCUAAAUAAAACAUUUUGAUGGCCUGGUUUCUGCUAGACUGUAUAUUGGCCAAUAAAAUGCCAACCUUUGCCUAAUGGGACCAUAAGUACU
rnacentral:lncRNA from 1 species